rnacentral:tRNA from 1 species
GUCCCCGUAGUGUAGCGGUUAUCAUUUAAGCCUUUCAAGCUUGAGACCUGGGUCCGACUCCCGGCGGGGGCA